rnacentral:misc_RNA from 1 species
UUAUUGUUAUUAUUAUUAUUAUUGGUAUAUUAUUUCAUACAAUUACAUGUCCUUUUUCAACUGACUAGUUUAUAGUAAUUAGUAACCAGCUAAAUGCCAUGUGAUCCAAUUUUGGGAGCACAAAUACACACUUGUGUUCAUUCAGGCAGAUACGUUUUCCCUUAUUUUAUGUUGUUUAUUUUUGCAUGGAUCAGACAUUGAUGAAGUCAUUCAUGAUUGUCAAUUUAAUUAGAAUAUAUUGCUUAUAUAUCACUGCUUACUCUGCCUUUGACAGCUACUGUCGGCAUGUACCUGGAUAUACAGCUGCAAUCCAUGUCAAAAUGCUGCAUACAUUCCAUGCAAGCUUGUUCAGAUUUAAUAUCUCAUGGCUUCUAAUAUUUUUUGACAUUUGUUUCAUU